AUGCAAGUCGAACGCUGAACACGGGGUAGCAAUAUUCCGUGUUCGGAGUGGCGCAAGGGUGCGUAACACGUGGGUAAUCUGCCGCGAAGACCGGGAUAACUUGCUGAAAGGCGAGCUAAUACCGGAUGUGGAAUUUGGGAGGCAUCUUUUGAAUUCUGAAGCUGGGGACCGUAACAGGCCUGGCACUUCGCGAUGAGCCCGCGGCCUAUCAGCUAGUUGGUGAGGUAAUGGCUCACCAAGGCUAAGACGGGUAGCUGGUCUGAGAGGACGACCAGCCUCACUGGAACUGAGAGACGGUCCAGACACCUACGGGUGGCAGCAGUCGAGAAUUUUUCACAAUGGGGGAAACCCUGAUGGAGCGACGCCGCGUGGGGGAUGAAGGGCUUCGGUCCGUAAACCCCUGUCAUUUGCGAACAAACCUUACGAUUGAACAGAUCGUGAGCUGAUUGUAGCGGAAGAGGAAGGGACGGCUAACUCUGUGCCAGCAGCCGCGGUAAUACAGAGGUCCCAAGCGUUGUUCGGAUUCACUGGGCGUAAAGGGUGCGUAGGUGGUUCUGCAAGUCUGAUGUGAAAUCUCCGGGCUUAACCCGGAAAUGGCAUUGGAAACUGCAGGGCUA
rnacentral:rRNA from 1 species